AUUGAACGCUGGCGGCAGGCCUAACACAUGCAAGUCGAGCGGUAGAGAGAAGCUUGCUUCUCUUGAGAGCGGCGGACGGGUGAGUAAAGCCUAGGAAUCUGCCUGGUAGUGGGGGAUAACGUUCGGAAACGGACGCUAAUACCGCAUACGUCCUACGGGAGAAAGCAGGGGAUCUUCGGGCCUUGCGCUAUCAGAUGAGCCUAGGUCGGAUUAGCUAGUUGGUGAGGUAAUGGCACACCAAGGCGACGAUCCGUAACUGGUCUGAGAGGAUGAUCAGUCACACUGGAACUGAGACACGGUCUAGACUCCUACGGGAGGCAGAAGUGGGGAAUAUUGGACAAUGGGCGAAAGCCUGAUCCAGCCAUGCCUCGUGUGUGAACAAGGUCUUCGGAUUGUAAAGCACUUUAAGUUGUGAGGAAGGGCAUUAACCUAAUACGUUAGUGUUUUGACGUUACCGACAGAAUAAGCACCGGCUAACUCUGUGCCAGCAGCCGCCGUAA
rnacentral:rRNA from 1 species